GACGAACGCUGGCGGCGUGCUUAACACAUGCAAGUCGAACGGAAAGGCCCUGCUUUUGUGGGGUGCUCGAGUGGCGAACGGGUGAGUAACACGUGAGUAACCUGCCCUUGACUUUGGGAUAACUUCAGGAAACUGGGGCUAAUACCGGAUAGGAGCUCCUGCUGCAUGGUGGGGGUUGGAAAGUUUCGGCGGUUGGGGAUGGACUCGCGGCUUAUCAGCUUGUUGGUGGGGUAGUGGCUUACCAAGGCUUUGACGGGUAGCCGGCCUGAGAGGGUGACCGGGCACAUUGGGACUGCGAUACGGCCCAGACUCCUACGGGAGGCAGCAGUGGGGAAUAUUGCACAAUGGGCGGAAGCCUGAUGCAGCAACCCCGCGUGCGGGAUGACGGCCUUCGGGUUGUAAACCGCUUUCGCCUGUGACGAAGCGUGAGUGACGGUAAUGGGUAAAGAAGCACCGGCUAACUACGUG
rnacentral:rRNA from 1 species